AUAACAUAUUUGUUGUUAAUAUCUUUUACAGCAUCAAAGUAGAACUUCGCACUUUUCAAAUAAGGUGGAAUAUGAAGCACUUUACAAAUAUAUGAAGCACUUUACAUGCGUUGUCAGAUCAAGAUAGUUAUUUACAUGAAUUCUUUAUUGGCUAAAUAAAAUAAUAGCACAUAUUUUGUAUUAUAUAAUAUGAUGUACACAUGUAUGUUCUUAACAAUAUGUUUAUUAAAUGGUUAAAAAUG